rnacentral:rRNA from 1 species
AAUAUUGGACAAUGGGGGCAACCCUGAUCCAGCCAUGCCGCGUGUGUGAAGAAGGUCAUCGGAUUGUAAAGCACUUUAAGGUGGGAGAAAGGGCUUUAGGCUAAUACCCUGAAGUUGUGACGUUACCAUCAGAAUAAGCACCGUCUCACUCUGACCCAUGAGCCGCGGUUAUACAGAGGGUGAAAGCGUUAAGCGGAAUUAAUGGGCGUAAGUCGCGCGUAGGGGGGUCAGUAAGAUGGGUGUGAAAUCCCCGGGCUUAACCUGGGAACUGCUUUCAUAACUGCUGAGCUAGAGUACGGUAGAGGGUAGUGGAAUUUCCUGUGUAGCGGUGAAAUGCGUAGAUAGAGGAAGGAACACCAGUGGCGAAGGCGACUACCUGGACUGAUACUGACACUGAGGUGCGAAAGCGUGGGGAGCAAACAG